GAUGAAGAACGCAGCGAAAUGCGAUACGUAGUGUGAAUUGCAGAAUUCAGUGAAUCAUCGAAUCUUUGAACGCACAUUGCGCCCUUUGGUAUUCCAAAGGGCAUGCCUGUUCGAGCGUCAUUUGUACCCUCAAGCUUUGCUUGGUGUUGGGCGUCUUGUCUCCAGUCCGCUGGAGACUCGCCUUAAAGUCAUUGGCAGCCGGCCUACUGGUUUCGGAGCGCAGCACAAGUCGCACUCUUCUCCAGCCAAGGUCAGCGUCCAACAAGCCUUUUUUCAACUUUUGACCUCGGAUCAGGUAGGGAUACCCGCUGAACUUAAGCAUAUCAAUAAGCGGAGGA
rnacentral:misc_RNA from 1 species